UCUGGAUUGAAGAGACGACCCA
rnacentral:miRNA from 1 species